rnacentral:rRNA from 1 species
CAGCAGCCGCGGUAAUACGGAGGGGGCUAGCGUUGUUCGGAACUACUGGGCGUAAAGCGCACGUAGGCGGCUUGGUAAGUUAGAGGUGAAAGCCUGGAGCUCAACUCCAGAAUUGCCUUUAAGACUGCCGAGCUAGCAGGUGAGAGAGGUAAGUGGAAUUCCGAGUGUAGAGGUGAAAUUCGUAGAUAUUCGGAAGAACACCAGUGGCGAAGGCGGCUUACUGGCUCAUACUGGACGCUGAGGUGCGAAAGCGUGGGGAGCAAACAGGAUUAGAUACCCCAGUAGUCCCUGUCUCUUAUAC